AUUGAACGCUGGCGGCAUGCUUUACACAUGCAAGUCGAACGGACUUAGGGGCUUGCUCCUGAGUUAGUGGCGAACGGGUGAGUAAUGCAUCGGAACGUACCGUGUAGUGGGGGAUAACGCAGCGAAAGUUGUGCUAAUACCGCAUACGAUCUACGGAUGAAAGCAGGGGAUCGCAAGACCUUGUGCUAUACGAGCGGCCGAUGUCGGAUUAGCUAGUUGGUGAGGUAAAGGCUCACCAAGGCGACGAUCCGUAGCGGGUCUGAGAGGAUGAUCCGCCACACUGGGACUGAGACACGGCCCAGACUCCUACGGGAGGCAGCAGUGGGGAAUAUUGGACAAUGGGGGGAACCCUGAUCCAGCGAUGCCGCGUGUGUGAAGAAGGCCU
rnacentral:rRNA from 1 species